AUAUCAAUAAGCGGAGGAAAAGAAACCAACAGGGAUUGCCUCAGUAACGGCGAGUGAAGCGGCAACAGCUCAAAUUUGAAAUCUGACCCCUUCGGGGCCCGAGUUGUAAUUUGUAGAGGAUGUUUCGGGUGUGACGCCGGUGUAAGUUCCUUGGAACAGGACGUCAUAGAGGGUGAGAAUCCCGUAUGCGACCGGUGGUCAACCCCAUGUGAAACCCCUUCGACGAGUCGAGUUGUUUGGGAAUGCAGCUCAAAAUGGGUGGUAAAUUUCAUCUAAAGUUAAAUACCGGCCAGAGACCGAUAGCGCACAAGUAGAGUGAUCGAAAGAUGAAAAGCACUUUGGAAAGAGAGUCAAACAGUACGUGAAAUUGUUGAAAGGGAAGCGCUUGCAACCAGACCUGCCCCUGGGCGAUCAACCGUUAUUCUUAGCGGUGCACUCGUCCUCGUUCAGGCCAGCAUCGGUUCGGGCGGCCGGAUAAAGGCCCAGGGAAUGUAGCUCCCUUCGGGGAGUCUUAUAGCCCGG
rnacentral:rRNA from 1 species